GACACCACAACCCUGCUGUGAGGUAAUGGGACUGAAUUCUUCUACAGGGCUGUCUGAAGCAAAGCAGGCAAGUGGUGAAGACAUGGAGGAAACUGUGAUAAAAGACAAAGAGAUUUCAGAUGAGCGUCUGGGAAAACAUCCGGCUUAGAUCUGCUGAAAUUGACCCUUUGCCUUGUUAAGAUGUUUUGCCUCCUAUGGUUCAAAUUUUAGUAGGAGCUAGGAAUUUCGGCUCAAGUUUCAGGCCAAGGUUAAGUGAAGCAGAGGGGAAUCCUAACUGGGCAGUUGACUUACGUUGUCCCGAACCAUGGUGUCCGCUGCCUCUGACAUGAUCUUGAUGGUGGGAUCUCUGUUUUUGCGGUCAAUGAAAAUGAAGCCACUUAACCAGCACCAUAACAGGAACCAGAACAAUAGACCAGAGAAGCAUCCAUCCAUUUAAAUAAUGAAUCCUGAAGUAGUAUCGGAAGAUGUUGCUGUAACAGUAGAGGAGGAAUGCAGCAAAGAAGAAAAGGAAAAUAUUCACUAAGCCAAGAGAUAGGACCAUGUUCCUUCCUGAACGGAGUCACCAGUGCACACACAGAGCUUGCUUCUGUCUGGAUCUAAUCGCACGGAAAUUGCAGCAAUGUGGGCAUGAAACACACAGUGCAGAAACAAAAACAUGGCCGGGCAAGUAUAUCCUGAUAUAGGAGAAUGGUAAUUUGAUUUAAUUGCCAGCCUGCUGGGGAUGGGUGUGUUAGGAAGGCUGGAGGUAGGAACCCACAGGAAUGCUGCUUGGGGCCAGAAACCCCUGAAAUGUUGUUAAUAGAUAUUUUAUUAAUCUAUUUCUCUGGAUGAAG